rnacentral:rRNA from 1 species
CAUGCAAGUCGAGCGAACAGAUAAGGAGCUUGCUCCUUUGACGUUAGCGGCGGACGGGUGAGUAACACGUGGGUAACCUACCUAUAAGACUGGGAUAACUUCGGGAAACCGGAGCUAAUACCGGAUAACAUUUGGAACCGCAUGGUUCUAAAGUGAAAGAUGGUUUUGCUAUCACUUAUAGAUGGACCCGCGCCGUAUUAGCUAGUUGGUAAGGUAACGGCUUACCAAGGCAACGAUACGUAGCCGACCUGAGAGGGUGAUCGGCCACACUGGAACUGAGACACGGUCCAGACUCCUACGGGAGGCAGCAGUAGGGAAUCUUCCGCAAUGGGCGAAAGCCUGACGGAGCAACGCCGCGUGAGUGAUGAAGGGUUUCGGCUCGUAAAACUCUGUUAUUAGGGAAGAACAAAUGUGUAAGUAACUGUGCACAUCUUGACGGUACCUAAUCAGAAAGCCACGGCUAACUACGUGCCAGCAGCCGCGGUAAUACGUAGGUGGCAAGCGUUAUCCGGAAUUAUUGGGCGUAAAGCGCGCGUAGGCGGUUUCUUAAGUCUGAUGUGAAAGCCCACGGCUCAACCGUGGAGGGUCAUUGGAAACUGGGAAACUUGAGUGCAGAAGAGGAAAGUGGAAUUCCAUGUGUAGCGGUGAAAUGCGCAGAGAUAUGGAGGAACACCAGUGGCGAAGGCGACUUUCUGGUCUGUAACUGACGCUGAUGUGCGAAAGCGUGGGGAUCAAACAGGAUUAGAUACCCUGGUAGUCCACGCCGUAAACGAUGAGUGCUAAGUGUUAGGGGGUUUCCGCCCCUUAGUGCUGCAGCUAACGCAUUAAGCACUCCGCCUGGGGAGUACGACCGCAAGGUUGAAACUCAAAGGAAUUGACGGGGACCCGCACAAGCGGUGGAGCAUGUGGUUUAAUUCGAAGCAACGCGAAGAACCUUACCAAAUCUUGACAUCCUUUGAAAACUCUAGAGAUAGAGCCUUCCCCUUCGGGGGACAAAGUGACAGGUGGUGCAUGGUUGUCGUCAGCUCGUGUCGUGAGAUGUUGGGUUAAGUCCCGCAACGAGCGCAACCCUUAAGCUUAGUUGCCAUCAUUAAGUUGGGCACUCUAGGUUGACUGCCGGUGACAAACCGGAGGAAGGUGGGGAUGACGUCAAAUCAUCAUGCCCCUUAUGAUUUGGGCUACACACGUGCUACAAUGGACAAUACAAAGGGCAGCUAAACCGCGAGGUCAUGCAAAUCCCAUAAAGUUGUUCUCAGUUCGGAUUGUAGUCUGCAACUCGACUACAUGAAGCUGGAAUCGCUAGUAAUCGUAGAUCAGCAUGCUACGGUGAAUACGUUCCCGGGUCUUGUACACACCGCCCGUCACACCACGAGAGUUUGUAACACCCGAAGCCGGUGGAGUAACCAUUUAUGGAGCUAG